UACAGAGGUCUCAAGCGUUGUUCGGAUUCAUUGGGCGUAAAGGGUGCGUAGGCGGCGCGGUAAGUCGGAUGUGAAAUCUUGGAGCUUAACUCCGAAACUGCAUUCGAUACUGCCGUGCUUGAGGACUGGAGAGGAGACUGGAAUUUACGGUGUAGCGGUGAAAUGCGUAGAUAUCGUAAGGAAGACCAGUGGCGAAGGCGGGUCUCUGGACAGUUCCUGACACUGAGGCACGAAGGCCAGGGGAGCAAACGGG
rnacentral:rRNA from 1 species